GAUGGUCACCGGAGAAGAUGACCAGAGCUAGGGCUCUGGUGGUGCGUUGGAAUGAUCCAUGCCAUUUGAUCUGGUCCGCAACUUCUAAUCUCAGCCUUUGUUUAUGAUCACCAAGUUUGUGCACGCGUGGAUUGUGGAGCACCAUGGACAUGAUGCGUGUGGCCAUAGGAUCUGCCACCUCAAUUAAUAAGGGAGAUAUGAUGACCCUCCUUUUUUUUAAUUUAAU
rnacentral:lncRNA from 1 species